GCGGGAUGGACACACUAUCGUAAACAAACAGAGUGUCUUGGUGACAAUACUUCUUGGUGCCUAAAGGGGACAGACCGUCUCCGCGGGUUGGAGGAGGGAUCUCGGGGGGAGAUCAGAAAAGGAUCAAACACAACGGUGAAGACACCAGGGCUUGAGGUCACUGAGGUGAAAAUGAAGGAGACCGAGUUUGAUGAUAGCCCGCCAAGCGCAAACACCCGUUCCAGGGUCAGUCUUUAAAUCACAAACGAUUCCUGUCAACAAUGUAAAACUAAACCUGAUAACAAAAUUAUGAAAAACGUA